rnacentral:rRNA from 1 species
GAUGAACGCUGGCGGCGUGCUUAACACAUGCAAGUCGAACGGUGAAGCUCCAGCUUGCUGGAGUGGAUCAGUGGCGAACGGGUGAGUAACACGUGAGCAACCUGCCCCUGACUCUGGGAUAACAGCCGGAAACGGCUGCUAAUACCGGAUAUGCACCAUGAACGCAUGUUCUGUGGUGGGAAAGAUUUUUCGGUUGGGGAUGGGCUCGCGGCCUAUCAGCUUGUUGGUGAGGUAAUGGCUCACCAAGGCGUCGACGGGUAGCCGGCCUGAGAGGGUGACCGGCCACACUGGGACUGAGACACGGCCCAGACUCCUACGGGAGGCAGCAGCGGGGAAUAUUGCACAAUGGGCGAAAGCCUGAUGCAGCAACGCCGCGUGAGGGAUGACGGCCUUCGGGUUGUAAACCUCUUUUAGCAGGGAAGAAGCGAGAGUGACGGUACCUGCAGAAAAAGCGCCGGCUAACUACGUG